ACGCUCGACACCUACGGGAAGCAGCAGUGGGGAAUAUUGCACAAUGGGGGAAACCCUGAUGCAGCAACGCCGCGUGAAGGAAGACGGUUUUCGGAUUGUAAACUUCUGUUCUUAGUGAAGAUAGUGACGGUAGCUAAGGAGCAAGCCACGGCUAACUACGUGCCAGCAGCGCGGUAAUCUGAGGCGGGCUGGCAAGGC
rnacentral:rRNA from 1 species